AUUCCAGCUCCAAUAGCGUAUAUUAAAGUUGUUGCAGUUAAAAAGCUCGUAGUUGAAUUUUGGACCUGGUUGAAUGGUCCCGCCGCAAGGUGGGUACUGUUUGAUUGGGUCUUUCUUUGCGGGGAAUUAGUGUGCUCUUAAUUGGGCGCAUUAAGGAUCCGUAACUUUUACUUUGAAAAAAUUAGAGUGUUUAAAGCAGGCUUAGGCCUGAAUACAUUAGCAUGGAAUAAUAGAAUAGGACCUGUGUUCUAUUUUGUUGGUUUCUAGGACGUAGGUAAUGAUUAAUAGGGACAGUUGGGGGCAUUAGUAUUUAAGUGUCAGAGGUGAAAUUCUUGGAUUGCUUAAAGACUAACUUCUGCGAAAGCAUUUGCCAAGGAUGUUUUCAUUA
rnacentral:rRNA from 1 species